GCAGGUUCGGCCAAACUUUGACAAACCCUGUGGCGGCGACUUUGCAUGCGGAUGUCAUCCAUAUCAACUUUCAAUUCCAGUUUCUGCACCUACCAUGGUGACCACAGGUAACGGGGAAUCAGGGUUCCAUUCUGUACAGGGACCCUGAGAAACGGCUACCACAUGCAAGGAAGGCAGCAGGCGCUCAAAUGACCCACUCCCGACGCGGGAAGGUAGUGAC